rnacentral:lncRNA from 10 species
GCUGGGAAAAAAGACACGUCAACUCAAUACCCAUCCUAUUUUUAGACGGCCUGAGAUUCGUCCUUAUCCAUGCAGGGCAGUCGGGUAGGACAAUGAAGAGGUGGACUUCUGAAUUUGAGAGAAAUUGGUCUUAUCCCAGAGAAGUGAGGCCACCACCCACCUGCAAUAGCUUGGCUUCCUGGAUCCCUAAGCAAAGACAGAGUCUUGCUCUGUCACUCGGGCUGGAGUACAGUGACACAAUCACGGUUCACUGCAGCCUGGACCUCCCAGCUACUCAGGAGGCUGAGGCACAAGAAUCGCUUGAACCCAGGAGGCAGAGGUUGCAGUGAGCAGAGGUCAUGCCAUUGCACUCCAGCCUGGGCAACAAGAGUGAAACUCCAUC